AACGAACGCUGGCGGCAUGCCUAACACAUGCAAGUCGAACGAGACCUUCGGGUCUAGUGGCGCACGGGUGCGUAACGCGUGGGAAUCUGCCCUUGGGUUCGGAACAACAGUUGGAAACGACUGCUAAUACCGGAUGAUGACUUCGGUCCAAAGAUUUAUCGCCCAAGGAUGAGCCCGCGUAGGAUUAGCUUGUUGGUGAGGUAAAAGCUCACCAAGGCGACGAUCCUUAGCUGGUCUGAGAGGAUGAUCAGCCACACUGGGACUGAGACACGGCCCAGACUCCUACGGGAGGCAGCAGUGGGGAAUAUUGGACAAUGGGCGAAAGCCUGAUCCAGCAAUGCCACGUGAGUGAUGAAGGCCUUAGGGUUGUAAAGCUCUUUUACCCGGGAUGAUAAUGACAGUACCGGGAGAAUAAGCCCCGGCUAACUCCGUGCCAGCAGCCGCCGUAA
rnacentral:rRNA from 1 species